UACAGAGGUCUCGAGCGUUGUUCGGAUUCAUUGGGCGUAAAGGGUGCGUAGGCGGCGUGGCAAGUCUGGCGUGAAAUCUCCAAGCCUAACUUGGAAACUGCGUUGGAUACUAUCCGGCUCGAGGAAUGGAGGGGAGACUGGAAUACUUGGUGUAGCAGUGAAAUGCGUAGAUAUCAAGUGGAACACCAGUGGCGAAGGCGAGUCUCUGGACAUUUCCUGACGCUGAGGCACGAAAGCCAGGGGAGCAAACGGG
rnacentral:rRNA from 1 species